AAAUUGAAGAGUUUGAUCAUGGCUCAGAUUGAACGCUGGCGGCAGGCCUAACACAUGCAAGUCGAACGGUAACAGGAAGAAGCUUGCUUCUUUGCUGACGAGUGGCGGACGGGUGAGUAAUGUCUGGGAAACUGCCUGAUGGAGGGGGAUAACUACUGGAAACGGUAGCUAAUACCGCAUAACGUCGCAAGACCAAAGAGGGGGACCUUCGGGCCUCUUGCCAUCGGAUGUGC
rnacentral:rRNA from 1 species